GACGGAGGGUGCGAGCGUUAUUCGGAUUUAUUGGGCGUAAAGAGCGUGUAGGCGGCCGGCCAAGUCAGAUGUGAAAGCCCGAGGCUCAACCUCGGAAGUGCAUUUGAAACUGGUUGGCUUGAGUUCGGGAGAGGGAAGCGGAAUUCCGGGUAUAGAGGUGAAAUUCGUAGAUAUCCGGAGGAACACCGGUGGCGAAGGCGGCUUCCCGGACCGAAACUGACGCUGAGACGCGAAAGCGUGGGGAGCAAACAGG
rnacentral:rRNA from 1 species